UACGUAGGGGGCUAGCGUUGUCCGGAUUUAUUGGGCGUAAAGAGCUCGUAGGCGGCUUGUCACGUCGGGUGUGAAAGCCCGGGGCUUAACCCCGGGUCUGCAUUCGAUACGGGCAGGCUAGAGUGUGGUAGGGGAGAUCGGAAUUCCUGGUGUAGCGGUGAAAUGCGUAGAUAUCUGGAGGAACACCGGUGGCGAAGGCGGCAUCCUGGACCAACACUGACACUGAGGAGCGAAAGCCAGGGGAGCAAACGGG
rnacentral:rRNA from 1 species